UUUUUUUUUUUUUUUUCUCUUCCCCAGAUGACGCGGCGGCGUGCCUAAUACAUGCAAGUCGAGCGAACGGACGAGAAGCUUGCUUCUCUGAUGUUAGCGGCGGACGGGUGAGUAACACGUGGAUAACCUACCUAUAAGACUGGGAUAACUUCGGGAAACCGGAGCUAAUACCGGAUAAUAUUUUGAACCGCAUGGUUCAAAAGUGAAAGACGGUCUUGCUGUCACUUAUAGAUGGAUCCGCGCUGCAUUAGCUAGUUGGUAAGGUAACGGCUUACCAAGGCAACGAUGCAUAGCCGACCUGAGAGGGUGAUCGGCCACACUGGAACUGAGACACGGUCCAGACUCCUACGGGAGGCAGCAGUAGGGAAUCUUCCGCAAUGGGCGAAAGCCUGACGGAGCAACGCCGCGUGAGUGAUGAAGGUCUUCGGAUCGUAAAACUCUGUUAUUAGGGAAGAACAUAUGUGUAAGUAACUGUGCACAUCUUGACGGUACCUAAUCAGAAAGCCACGGCUAACUACGUGCCAGCAGCCGCGGUAAUACGUAGGUGGCAAGCGUUAUCCGGAAUUAUUGGGCGUAAAGCGCGCGUAGGCGGUUUUUUAAGUCUGAUGUGAAAGCCCACGGCUCAACCGUGGAGGGUCAUUGGAAACUGGAAAACUUGAGUGCAGAAGAGGAAAGUGGAAUUCCAUGUGUAGCGGUGAAAUGCGCAGAGAUAUGGAGGAACACCAGUGGCGAAGGCGACUUUCUGGUCUGUAACUGACGCUGAUGUGCGAAAGCGUGGGGAUCAAACAGGAUUAGAUACCCUGGUAGUCCACGCCGUAAACGAUGAGUGCUAAGUGUUAGGGGGUUUCCGCCCCUUAGUGCUGCAGCUAACGCAUUAAGCACUCCGCCUGGGGAGUACGACCGCAAGGUUGAAACUCAAAGGAAUUGACGGGGACCCGCACAAGCGGUGGAGCAUGUGGUUUAAUUCGAAGCAACGCGAAGAACCUUACCAAAUCUUGACAUCCUUUGACAACUCUAGAGAUAGAGCUUUCCCCUUCGGGGGACAAAGUGACAGGUGGUGCAUGGUUGUCGUCAGCUCGUGUCGUGAGAUGUUGGGUUAAGUCCCGCAACGAGCGCAACCCUUAAGCUUAGUUGCCAUCAUUAAGUUGGGCACUCUAAGUUGACUGCCGGUGACAAACCGGAGGAAGGUGGGGAUGACGUCAAAUCAUCAUGCCCCUUAUGAUUUGGGCUACACACGUGCUACAAUGGACAAUACAAAGGGCAGCGAAACCGCGAGGUCAAGCAAAUCCCAUAAAGUUGUUCUCAGUUCGGAUUGUAGUCUGCAACUCGACUACAUGAAGCUGGAAUCGCUAGUAAUCGUAGAUCAGCAUGCUACGGUGAAUACGUUCCCGGGUCUUGUACACACCGCCCGUCACACCACGAGAGUUUGUAACACCCGAAGCCGGUGGAGUAACCUUUUAGGAGCUAGCCGUCGAAGGUGGGACAAAUGAUUGGGGUGAGUCUAAAAGG
rnacentral:rRNA from 1 species